rnacentral:rRNA from 1 species
CGCCUGCUCCAAAAAUAUCAGGUAGGGCCUGCCCAAUGAUUAAAUGGCCGCAGUAUCCUGACUGUGCUAAGGUAGCAUAAUAAUUUGUCUCUUAAUUGGAGACUAGAAUGAAAGGUCUGACGUGAUAUUUCUGUCAGAAAUAAAGUAGAGGGACGACAAGACCCUAAAAGCUUUACCGGUUUUCACUGGGGCGGUGUAUACAAUAUAUUUUCCAACACUAUGAGUGAAAGUUACUUUAGGGAUAACAGCAUUAUCUCCCGAGAGAGUCCCCAUCGGCCGGGAGGUUUGUGACCUCGAUGUUGAAUUGAGUAAGUCUGUUCGACUUUUAAAUAUU